rnacentral:lncRNA from 1 species
AUGGAAGCUAACAUGCUUUGGCCUAUAACACCGUCUUUGUUGUCUAAAAUAGGACAUAUGCAUUCAAAGUCACACUAGACUGAUUCAUCAAAAGUGUCCUUCUUGUAAUACAUAAAUAACAAGUGUUUGGGCUAAAGGGUAAUUUUAUAUUUUUAAAUUAUUAAAAUACUAUAUAUUUUUUAUUUUCUUUUUCAAAACAAUCACAAUUACUUAAACAAAUUCACUCAU